rnacentral:rRNA from 1 species
AUUGAACGCUGGCGGCAGGCCUAACACAUGCAAGUCGAACGAGUGGCGGACGGGUGAGUAAUGUCUGGGAAACUGCCCGAUGGAGGGGGAUAACUACUGGAAACGGUAGCUAAUACCGCAUACCAUCGGAUGUGCCCAGAUGGGAGUAGCUAGGAGGUGGGGUAACGGCUCACCUAGGCGACGAUCCCUAGCUGGUAUGAGAGGAUGACCAGCCACACUGGAACUUAGACACGGUCCAGACUCCUACGGGAGGCAGCAGUGUGGAAUAUUCGACAAUGGGCGCAAGUCUGAUGCAGCCAUGCCGCGUGUGUGAAGAAGGUCUUCGGGUUGUAAAGUACUUUCAUCGAGGAGGCGUUACUCGCAGAGGAAGCACCGGCUAACUCCGUGCCAGCAGCCGCGGUAAUAC